CACAAAAAAAAGAGGGUUCUUUGUCCCUGUUUUUUGGAGAAUCCAGAUCCGGGGUCAAAAAUCCUAGAUCCAAUCAAAGUUCGACAAUUACAUAAAGGGUCUUUCGGUUUCCAGUCGUCCCCGACACGACUUUCGAUGAACCACCAAGGGUUCGACAGCCUUCAAGGCUAGAGAAGCCUCCGGUGAUGGCGGUCGAGUGGAGUCAACGGUGGGAUAGAGACUCUCAUCUUUACUGUUUUGGUGCAAAGGCAGCUGAGGAGCAAACCUUGGGGCGUAAGCAUCUUGCGGAGGAGCACCUGUUGACGUGGCAAGGAGCGGCGCGAAUGGGACUAGGGUUUUUAGUUUUACUGAAAGAUAGUUUAGGUUAUGGACCUAUAAUUGGGUCUUAGGGUUUUGGUUAGGUUGUAUUUUGGGCCUUGGGUUUUUUUUUGUUUUUGGGCGAUCAUUGUAAUUGGACUUUGAACUCUUUAUUUGAUUUUUAUUUUGUUUA